rnacentral:rRNA from 1 species
CAGCCGCCGCGGUAAAACGGAGGGGGCUAGCGUUGUUCGGAAUUACUGGGCGUAAAGCGCACGUAGGCGGCUUGGUAAGUUAGAGGUGAAAGCCUGGAGCUCAACUCCAGAAUUGCCUUUAAGACUGCCGAGCUAGCAGGUGAGAGAGGUAAGUGGAAUUCCGAGUGUAGAGGUGAAAUUCGUAGAUAUUCGGAAGAACACCAGCGGCGAAGGCGGCUUACUGGCUCAUUCUAGACGCUGAGGUGCGAAAGCGUGGGGAGCAAACAGGAUUAGAUACACCCGUAGUCCCUGUCUCUUAUAC